UCCCCAGUGGUGCAACUAGGUAGCGCGCGGUACUUAUAAUGCAGAGGUUGUAAAUUUGAUCCUCACCUGGGGAA